UAAAUAAUUAUUAGUGAUUUUCUCCUACACAGAAUAGCAUGUUUUUAAAAUAAUUCUCUUUCUUAUGUGCCGUUUGGCUGCAUUCGGCUUCAGCCAAGCGCUUGCACUCGAUGACACGGAAGGUUGUUUACAUCUAAAAACGUGGCGACAUCAGCUGAGAUAUGCAGUGGAUUUUAAUGCAAUAACCAGACAUUCAUUAAAGAAAAUAGGGAUAAGAUAAGAGACAAGGCAUUGUUUAUCCCUAAUACGAGAAUAUGAGGACAUUAUAACAGAAAAUAAAAGAAGACUGAGACGAUCUGCACUAGCUCCCUAGAUCCAUCACUGCAGUGCAUUCAGCCCAGCAGUCAAGAGUUCAAGGCUUGAAGAAUGAAUAAAUACAAAAUGCAUCCAUUUCUCCACAGGCUAUUCCUAAAGAAUUGGAACAAUGGAUUCAUUCAGGCAGCAAGUUAAUCCAUCAUGUAACUAAAGGAAAAUGAAUUGAUUUCAUCCACAAGAACAUGAAGUGAAGGAAAUAAUUUGCAGCUGCUCAGUAUUCCUUGUGCAGUCUACCUUAAUUUAAAAAGCUGUUUAUGAAAUAAAAUUUCUUCAUAAAAAAUGAUUUGACUUUUUCAUAUACAUGUACUUACUGUACAGGUUUUGAAAAGGCUAUUAAGAUUUAAUAAUCUUGACUUGCAUAUAUUUGUGUGGUGGGUGUCAAUGUCCAUGAUCAAGAUUUUAUUUCCAGCGUGUACAUUGUGUUUAUUCGUUUUUCUUAAUAAUAGUAGCUAAAAAGGAGAUUAAAGGCUCCCCUAACUGAUUCAAAACAGGAAAGUGGACCACCAUUUUAUUCUGAAGGGAGGGGGGGGGGGGUGAGGGUUGGCAAGUUUUCCCAAGUCAUUAUUUUUUUUUUUAUUUCUUUUCAUGUCAAUGAAGGACAGGUCUACUAAUAUUUAUUUCCAAUAAGAUGAAGGACAAAUUAUUUAUUUUCCUCUUCACUGAAAAAUGUCUGACAAGCAAAAAAAAAAAUAAUAAUUAAUAGGAGGGGGGAACACUGGUCUGGGGCAGAUUAUUUAUUUUUUUAUCCAGUCUGGGACAUAUUUAUUUUCAACAUUUUUGAGAUCUAACCCCCCGCCCCCUCUUU